rnacentral:snRNA from 1 species
GUUCACAUUGGCAGCACAUAUAUGAAAAUUAGAACAACACACAGAAGAUUAGCAUGGCUCUUCUGUAAGGAUGACUCUCAAAUUUGUGAAGCACUCCAUACUUUU